GACGAACGCUGGCGGCAUGCCUAAUACAUGCAAGUCGAACGAACCAUCCUGAAGAUUGAAGCUUGCUUCAUGAUUCAGACCUUGGUGAGUGGCGGACGGGUGAGUAACACGUGGGUAACCUGCCCAAAAGUGGGGGAUAACAUCUGGAAACAGGUGCUAAUACCGCAUAACAACUACUUUCUCAUGAUCGUAGCUUGAAAGAUGGCUCUGCUAUCGCUUUUGGAUGGACCCGCGGCGUAUUAGCUAGUUGGUGAGGUAAUAGCUCACCAAGGCAAUGAUACGUAGCCGACCUGAGAGGGUAAUCGGCCACAUUGGGACUGAGACACGGCCCAAACUCCUACGGGAGGCAGCAGUAGGGAAUCUUCCACAAUGGGCGAAAGCCUGAUGGAACAAUGCCGCGUGAGUGAAGAAGGUUUUCGGAUCGUAAAACUCUGUUGUUGAAGAAGAACAUGCGUGAGAGUAACUGUUCACGUACUGACGGUAUUCAACCAGAAAGCCACGGCUAACUACGUGCCAGCAGCCGCGGUAAUACGUAGGUGGCAAGCGUUGUCCGGAUUUAUUGGGCGUAAAGAGAAUGUAGGCGGUUUAUUAAGUUUGAAGUGAAAGCCCUCGGCUCAACCGAGGAAGUGCUUCGAAAACUGGUAAACUUGAGUGCAGAAGAGGAAAGUGGAACUCCAUGUGUAGCGGUGGAAUGCGUAGAUAUAUGGAAGAACACCAGUGGCGAAGGCGGCUUUCUGGUCUGUAACUGACGCUGAGAUUCGAAAGCAUGGGUAGCAAACAGGAUUAGAUACCCUGGUAGUCCAUGCCGUAAACGAUGAGUGCUAAGUGUUGGAGGGUUUCCGCCCUUCAGUGCUGCAGCUAACGCAUUAAGCACUCCGCCUGGGGAGUACGAUCGCAAGAUUGAAACUCAAAGGAAUUGACGGGGGCCCGCACAAGCGGUGGAGCAUGUGGUUUAAUUCGAAGCAACGCGAAGAACCUUACCAGGUCUUGACAUACCAUGAAAAGCUAAGAGAUUAGUCUUUCCCUUCGGGGACAUGGAUACAGGUGGUGCAUGGUUGUCGUCAGCUCGUGUCGUGAGAUGUUGGGUUAAGUCCCGCAACGAGCGCAACCCUUAUUAUCAGUUGCCAGCAUUCAGUUGGGCACUCUGGUGAGACUGCCGGUGACAAACCGGAGGAAGGUGGGGACGACGUCAAAUCAUCAUGCCCCUUAUGACCUGGGCUACACACGUGCUACAAUGGUCGGUACAACGUGCUGCGAACUCGCGAGGGUAAGCAAAUCACUUAAAACCGAUCUCAGUUCGGAUUGUAGGCUGCAACUCGCCUACAUGAAGCUGGAAUCGCUAGUAAUCGCGGAUCAGCAUGCCGCGGUGAAUACGUUCCCGGGCCUUGUACACACCGCCCGUCACACCAUGAGAGUUUGUAACACCCAAAGUCGGUGGGGUAACCCUUCGGGGAACUAGCCGCCUAAGGUGGGACAAAUGAUUAGGGUG
rnacentral:rRNA from 1 species